GACACUUGUGUUGUCUCUCACGCAGUGUGAGGGAAGCAAAACCCUGCUUCUCUCACUUCCUUGUUUAGAGUCUUUCCUGCCAGCUGAGUCUCUUCAGUGUUUGGAGUUUUUAAAGGCUGUGGGUUCUUAACCCCUUGCUGCAUGCUGCUUUCUGAGCAGUCUGGAGAUGGCCUAAAGGUGAGGCAGACACUUCCAGCGCUGCGGAGCCUGUGCCGCAGUUGCCCUGAGGAGAGCCAUCUGCCACGGGCUGGGGAUAACCGCGUGCCCGAGCAAGCCUGAGCAUCUGUGGGGACUGCUGCGGCAUCCUGGUGAUGAAGUAGAGCCUGAGAACAUGGUGAAGCAGCACAGAGGGUACUGAAGCAUAGUCUGGCUGUUGAAGGAGCACCACAGAUUGGAGCUCUGCAGGAUGUGUGGCCAGGCACUAAGGACAAGCUCUGCCUCGCAGCGUGGACACAGCGAAGUGCUGGGGCUGCAUCGCAGAUGGGGCGGCGGGGGGCUGUGCCCUGGCUGGGGAUGAGACGGGCUGCGUGGCGCUCUGGGCACUGCUGGGAGGAGGGAGCGGGACGUUGUGUCGGGGAGGCUGAAGUUUGGGCAUUUAGUGAGUGAUGUGCAAUCCUGGCAACGGGAAUUUGCUUGAUGUGCCAAGUGGUUGGGUACCUUGGACUACGAAUGUUCAUCAUGUGAGUA
rnacentral:lncRNA from 1 species